rnacentral:lncRNA from 1 species
AGACGCAGAUCAGCCGAGGUCACGGCGUAGGCAGCCAGAGUGGGCUCAGGACCUCCGCCAGCAGUGAAACCGUCCCGGUUCCCGGAGACCCAGCUUGGACGGCUGUGCCUACCCCAUGCCCCGCCGGGGCUCAGAACCGCACAGGUCUAUAGGGGCGGAAAUCUCCGCUUGAGCUCCCCCUUCCCGGAUUACACGCGAGCCUGAGCUGUCUCCACUCCAUUGUUUUAUUAUGUACAAACGCUACAGAACGAGGGGGACAGACACGCGUGGGGUAAGAAGGGCCUGGUGGGAGGAGUUCACAGAGCAGACGGUGCACUGGGACCAGGAGAGCAGAACACAGGCCAUAACUAUAGGGCAGGAGGUGCGGGGGCGUCGUCCCCCUUCUGUUCUCCCCCCAAGGUCACAGUGCAUGCAAUAAAAUAUAUAUACAGGAGCUAGAUCCGUCCUCUGCAGGGGCUCUGAGGGUCCAGAGCUCCCUUCGGGUGGCGGGAAGCCAGUGGCGCUCCCUGGCGGCCAGGCCGGGCUGGAGCCACAUGCGUCGGGGGAGCGGGGGUCAGUCCCAGCCGUUGUCUUUGAUCAUGUGGUUGAGUUCAAUGAUGUACUUCCCCUCUUUGUACUUCUGGCUGCUCUCAAAGGCCUGUUCCUGAAAGGAGGGGCGGGACCGUCAUCCCCGGAGCAACAGUCUCACCACAAGGCACUGGGGUUGGGAAGUGGACAUGAGUGGCCCCAUUUUACAUAUGAGGAAACUGUGGCCCAGAGGGGCAGGGCCGUAUUUCUCACAAACACAGAGUAGAAUAGAACUCCCUGACUCAAAGGUACUUUUUUAAGUACUAAUGAUGGCUCCAACAGAGAAGAUAGGGAAGUGGCUAAAAGAUUUCACAGUUCAGGGUUUGCAAACUGGUAGCUUCAUGGCCAUUUUGGCCUACAACAUGUAUUAUGUUUGGACAGCAGACAGUUUAAUAAAAAUAACUUUAAAGUAUUAAAAUAUAAGUAGGCCUUGCUCACUCCAGUUUGCCCAGCCUGCCCCCAACUCCCAACCCUGCCAAUCUAUGCUACCCUUUACACAUCUACAGUAUCUGCUUGGCCUUGCAGGCACUUGAGGUUUUUUUGUUUGUUUGGUUUUGAGAGGGAGUCUUGCUCUGUCGCCCAGGCUGGAAGUGCAACGGCGCGAUAUCGGCUCACUGCAACCUCCGCUUCCCGGGUUCAAGUGAUUCUGCUGCCUUGGCCCCGAGUAGCUGGGAUUACAGGCGCCCACCACCACGCCGAGCUAAUUUUUGUAUUUUUAGUAGAGAUGGGGUUUCACCAUGUUAGUCAGGCUGUUCUCGAACUCCUGACCUCAGGUGAUCCACCUGCCUCAGACUCCCAAAAGUGCUGGGAUUACAGGCGUGAGCCACCACACCCAGCCUGGCACUUGAGUUUUUGACCUCUUGUUUAGGCCAGCUCUUUAUUAAUUAUUAUUAUUUUUGAAACGGAGUCUCGCUCUGUCUCCGCUCACUGCAAGGCUCUGCCUCCUGGGUUCACGCAAUUCUCCUGCCUCAACCUCAUGAGUAGCUGGGACUAGAGGCGCCCGCCACCACACCCAGCUGAUUUUUUUUUUUUUUUUUUGUAUUUUUGGUAGAGAUGGGGUUUCACCGUGUUAGCCAGGAUGGUCUCAAUCUCCUGACCUUGUGAUCCACCCGCCUC